rnacentral:rRNA from 1 species
UCCUACGGGAGGCAGCAGUGGGGAAUUUUGGACAAUGGGGGAAACCCUGAUCCAGCAAUGCCGCGUGUGUGAAGAAGGCCUUCGGGUUGUAAAGCACUUUUGUCCGGAAAGAAAACUUCUCCAUUAAUACCGGGGGAGGAUGACGGUACCGGAAGAAUAAGCACCGGCUAACUACGUGCCAGCAGCCGCGGUAAUACGUAGGGUGCGAGCGUUAAUCGGAAUUACUGGGCGUAAAGCGUGCGCAGGCGGUUCGUUAAGACAGAUGUGAAAUCCCCGGGCUUAACCUGGGAACUGCAUUUGUGACUGGCGAGCUAGAGUAUGGCAGAGGGGGGUAGAAUUCCACGUGUAGCAGUGAAAUGCGUAGAGAUGUGGAGGAAUACCGAUGGCGAAGGCAGCCCCCUGGGCCAAUACUGACGCUCAUGCACGAAAGCGUGGGGAGCAAACAGGAUUAGAUACCCUGGAGUCCACGCCCGACGAUGCUCUGCAUGGAUUCUUUCCUUAUUUUCCUCCGCAAGUGACCGCUAGGCUCGACGCAGAUAAA